rnacentral:rRNA from 1 species
UGGGGAAUAUUGCACAAUGGGCGCAAGCCUGAUGCAGCGACGCCGCGUGGGGGAUGACGGCCUUCGGGUUGUAAACUCCUUUCGCCAGGGACGAAGCGUUUUGUGACGGUACCUGGAGAAGAAGCACCGGCUAACUACGUGCCAGCAGCCGCGGUAAUACGUAGGGUGCAAGCGUUGUCCGGAAUUACUGGGCGUAAAGAGCUCGUAGGUGGUUUGUCGCGUCGUCUGUGAAAUUCCACAGCUUAACUGUGGGCGUGCAGGCGAUACGGGCAUAACUUGAGUACUGUAGGGGUAACUGGAAUUCCUGGUGUAGCGGUGAAAUGCGCAGAUAUCAGGAGGAACACCGAUGGCGAAGGCAGGUUACUGGGCAGUUACUGACGCUGAGGAGCGAAAGCAUGGGUAGCAAACA